rnacentral:lncRNA from 1 species
GAAUGGAUGUCGUAUUUGUCGGAUUUUUUCUUGAAUUAUAAAGGUUGAGACGUCAGUUUCUAUUUUAAUGCUAAUUAGAUGACACAGCUCAUGGUGCUACAGAGACAGACUAAACUGAACAUUUAAAAUAAUGGGAAAAAGAAUUAUUCAACUAUCAAAUUUAUAAUAUUACUUUUUGUCAAAUAUUUUAAUUUGAGAAGAUUUGCAAAAAUCAUGUCAAUAUUUACAUGUGUUUACCUGUAUUCACAAUUGUUU